rnacentral:pre_miRNA from 1 species
ACAACACCUGGACUGUCAGUCUACCGAGCAAUUUCACCUGCUCAUUGAAAGAUCUUCCCAUAGUUAU